rnacentral:tRNA from 1 species
GGGGGUGUGGCUCAGUGGUAGAACACUUGCCUGGCACACGUGAAGCCCUGGGUCCCAUUCCCAGCACCACGA